rnacentral:rRNA from 1 species
GACGAACGCUGGCGGCGUGCUUAACACAUGCAAGUCGAACGGAAAGGCCCCUUUGGGGGUACUCGAGUGGCGAACGGGUGAGUAACACGUGAGUAACCUGCCCUUGACUUCGGGAUAACUUCAGGAAACUGGGGCUAAUACCGGAUAGGAAUCCUUGCUGCAUGGUGGGGGUUGGAAAGCUUCGGCGGUUUUGGAUGGACUCGCGGCUUAUCAGCUUGUUGGUGGGGUAGUGGCUUACCAAGGCUUUGACGGGUAGCCGGCCUGAGAGGGCGACCGGCCACAUUGGGACUGAGAUACGGCCCAGACUGCUACGGGAGGCAGCAGUGGGGAAUAUUGCACAAUGGGCGGAAGCCUGAUGCAGCAACGCCGCGGGCGGGAUAACGGCCUUCGGGUUGUAAACCGCUUUCAGCAGGAGCGAAGCUUGUGGUGACGGUACCUGCAGAAGAAGCACCGGCUAACUACGUG